rnacentral:rRNA from 1 species
CCUACGGGAGGCAGCAGUGGGGAAUAUUGCACAAUGGGGGAAACCCUGAUGCAGCGACGCCGCGUGAGUGAAGAAGUAUUUCGGUACGUAAAGCUCUAUCAGCAGGGAAGAAAAUGACGGUACCUGACUAAGAAGCCCCGGCUAACUACGUGCCAGCAGCCGCGGUAAUACGUAGGGGGCAAGCGUUAUCCGGAUUUACUGGGUGUAAAGGGAGCGUAGACGGCAGCGCAAGUCUGGAGUGAAAUCCCAUGGCUUAACCAUGGAACUGCUUUGGAAACUGUGCAGCUAGAGUGCAGGAGAGGUAAGCGGAAGUCCUAGUGUAGCGGUGAAAUGCGUAGAUAUUAGGGGGAACACCAGUGGCGAAGGCGGCUUACUGGACUGUAACUGACGUUGAGGCUCGAAAGCGUGGGGAGCAAACAGGAUUAGAUACCCCAGUAGUC